rnacentral:rRNA from 1 species
CCUACGGGCGGCAGCAGUUUCGAAUCAUUCACAAUGGGCGAAAGCCUGAUGGUGCGACGCCGCGUGAGGGAUGAAGGUCUUCGGAUUGUAAACCUCUGUCACUGGGGAGAAAACGCUUUGAGUUAAUAGUUCAAAGCCUGAUUUAACCCGGAGAGGAAGCAGUGGCUAACUCUGUGCCAGCAGCCGCGGUAAUACAGAGACUGCAAGCGUUAUUCGGAUUCACUGGGCGUUGAGGGUGCCCAAUCUGUUGGCCCGAGGCUUAACCUCGGAACUGCGUCUGAAACUACUCGACUAGAGUACUGGAGAGGGAAACGGAAUUCACGGUGUAGCAGUGAAAUGCGUAGAUAUCGUGAGGAACACCAGAGGCGAAGGCGGUUUCCUGGACAGUUACUGACGCUCAGGCACGAAAGCAUGGGGAGCAAAAGGGAUUAGAUACCCGAGUAGUC